rnacentral:pre_miRNA from 2 species
UUAAUACUCUCUCGGUCCCAAACUUCUUGUCUUAUAUUUGUUUAGAUAUUAAUGUAUCUAGUCACAUUUUAGUAUUUAGAUACAUCCAUUUUUAGAGAAACCCAAGAAAUAAUUUUAAAACGGAGGGAGUACUUU